AUUAACAUAUUCAUGAAGUAUUUUUAAGUAGUUUCUUUGUGUAAUAUCAGUAUAUUAUUAUUAUACAUAUAACUUUAAAUGACAUUAGUUUAUCAUCUCAAAGAAAUGAAAUUGGAAAUAUAAAAUCAUUGAAUUUUGGUAAGUUAUAUUUUAUGUUAUUAUUUAUAACAAAAUGGUAAAUUUGGUACCUACAAUUGUUGUUCUCGUUUAAAUUUUUUGAGCUAAAUAGUUUACUGAUGAAUAUGUAGUAUACCAAUGAUUUAGUUGAAAUUGGGAAAUAUGCAAUACUUAAACUACUAUAUAUUUAAAUGGACCAAAGUCAACUCUUUCAACAAAGACAUAUGAAUUUUUUAUGUUUGUCAUUUUUUCCUGAAUUUAAAGAUUGUUUAGAUCAUAUUUCUUGGCAAAGAUUGAUAUUACAACCCAAGGUCCACUCUGAUGCCAGUCUAAACGGCAGGUUAGGUUAGGUUAAAUGUCCUUAAAUUUUCUGAAACACAAAUCAUUGAAUAUUUUUUACUUUUAUAACAAAAAUAAAAAUUACAGAAAAUAACUAAUUCUUUAAUCCAAUAUUGUUUUCCUUGAAAACGCCCAACUUGUUCUAAAAACGCAUGGAAUUCUGAUGACUUUUUAUUACAACUGGACCAAUGUUUUAUACCCUCAUAGAAUAUAGAUGUACCGGGAUGAUGGUCACAAGAAAUAUUCCCUUUUCCAGCACCUAUAUAAGCCUAUAAUAUUUUGAUAUUGUUAAUAAAGACGAUGUAUAUACAUUUUUUAAAAUUAAACAUGAAUUGAAAUGACCUAACCUGUUAUCAUCCAUUUUUUUUUCUUAUAGUACCAAUUAAAAUAUCAGUUUAACUAUUUGUAUAAUUUUUAUUAGAAAUCGUUUAUGGAAGUAGCUGUCCUUUGUUGUAAGUGAGUUGAGUAUAUGGUCGGUCUUACAUUUAUUAAUGGCAAAUAAGCUGUCAGUCUCAGUAACGAAAAUGGUAUGGGGCUUAAUAUUCAAGCUUUUUGGACUCUUGGCUUUUUACUGCUCUGGUAACCCUUUGUGCAGCCCUUAAACAUAUAAAUAUUUAAACACAUGGGUAAUAUUAAUGUAAUAAAGUAUAGUAAUAAUAGUGUCAAGUGUAAGAUCUUUAUAUUAAGAAAUUCAGUAAAAUCGGUAGAUUCCUAUUUACAGCACGACCAUCCCUUAUAGGCGUUAAGAAAAAAAGUGUUACCUUGAUGAUAUACGCAAUAAUCUAUUCAUUCAACAAAAAAAAAAAAAACUGUUAGAUUAGGUACUUAUCAAACGGUUGAAAAUCUACAUUGAAUUAACAGGGGAAUCAACUAAGUACUUCAUAUUAUUGAUAUAAGCUAUAGACUUUUUAUAAUUUGUAAAAGUAGCAACAUUGCCAAUAGAAAGUAUAGACAUACAGUAAACAUGAUUUAUAACAGUAUUGAAGGAACCACGAAAUAAGUAAGUAGGUAAAAUACAUAGUAAUUGCUUUAUAUAUUAGUCCAAUGGAUUGUACUAUUGUACUAACUAAAUAGUUUGAAUGGAUUAAUCGGUUGUAGAACCUACCUUCAGUAUUAUUGGCUUGAUCGAAUUAAUUUUCAGAUACGAUGCCAGUUCUUUGUUUUAUUUGUAAUGUAACAUUGUGUGGGGAAAAAACUCGUAUAUGUUCAAGCUUUACACCACACAGUUAUGUAUCAUACCCAGAAAAGAUUGGAGAACUUAUGGGAGAAGAAUGUGUUAUUAUUGUCACGUGUACGGAUCACAUGUGCAUGAAAUGCACAUCCCUUCUCACUCCUAUGGACUAUCUGCAAAAUGAUCUGAAACUUGUUAAAAAUGCAAUAUUGACCAACCUACAAGAUAAAUACGGAAUGUUACCUAAUGGACAGCCAGAAUGUCCCACUAGUGGCGGUGGAAGUAAUGCUUCAAAUAAAAUAAGACAAGACCCUUCAAAUAUUUAAAUAUACAAAUGCCGUUUUUGUUCAUUCCAAUAUAAUUACAUCACUUUAGUAACCAUAUAAUGCGUUGUCAUACAAAAAAGAAAGAUAAUGAAAAAUCAAAACAAACUGUGACAAUAAUUGUAACCCAGGAACAAAAACCUCAACAGAAACAACAUAAAACCAACCACCAGUUAAACAUCCAAAACCAACUGCGGCAACAAAAAAAAAAAUUUUUACGGAUGUCAAGUA